AUGUUUGUAAUUUAACAGUAAACAUAAUUUUUUCAGCAUUUCAUGACCCAUUUAACACAAUAUCUGAAAAUAUAUGACUAUUAAACACCCAAACUUUUAGAUCAAAUCUUUAAUAUCUUGACAUUCAACAUCUUCAAUGGUCUUGAUGUGAGGAAUUUAACAGUAAACAUCAUUUUUAACCUGCAAGUUAUGAAGCUUUCAGGAUGUCGUGACCCCUUUAAGACAUUUUAUGAAGAUAUAUGACCUCUACAUACCGAAACAGAUCAUAUAAAUCUUUAUUAGCUUAGUAAAUAUGUGUGUUUUUACACUAGUAAACACAGUUACAAUCUCAUCAGAAGGUGCUUGACUGUUUCAUUGGCAGAAUCUGGAUCCAGACCCAAAUCCUGAAGCACGACUUUCUUCUGAAAGUCCCUGAAUUCUCGUAGUCUGUCCAGUUUGGCGUGUAUGGCCUUGCGUUGGACCGCCAGCUCAGCCACAUGACUUCUCCACUGCUCGUCCUUCUCCUUCUGCUGUUGCUCUAGUUCGCGUUGCUUUUCUUGAUGCUCUUGCUCUCGCUUCUGUCGCCGAUGAACUCUUUCUUCUAGCUUUUCCAGCCUCUCGCUGUCCUGCUGUGUGCACUCUUCCUCAAGAUCCUGCUUCUCCAGACCGGUCAGAAACGAGUAAUCUUCCUCUUUACAGAGAUCCCGCAUGCACUUAGACAUGGGAAUUUGAGAAAACCUCUUCGCAUGAGCCAUCCUUGGCUUAUAAUGUGUCCUCUUGGGCUUCCAGUUUGUUUGGCUC
ensembl:processed_transcript